GGGGUGGAGCUUAUCAUCCGGGGACAGAGCCGUGGAUGGCAUGAGGAGUGUCAGACAAUCUGAAGGAGCACAGCUGGAGGCAGCAUGGGGGCGGAGCUUAUCGCGGUCUGGGCGGAGCUUAUCGCAGCCCGGGGUCUUCUAAGCUUCAGAUAAGAAUGGAGUGUCACAACGGGCUGUAGAUGAAGAUCCAGCAUGUGGGCGUUUACUGGAGAAGUGGAUGCCACAGCAGGAAGGAAGAGAGGUGGUUGGAUAUAGUUCCUUCUCAUGAAACCUGGAGCGCCAGAGGAGGCGAAUGAAGCCUAAGGAGGCUGAGGAGUUAUGCCUGGUGGGCAAGGCUGCAGACCACUGACAAAUGUAACUUGAAGAUUAAAGAGUGUUUGUUUGGCAAAUGUGGCUGAAGAUAACUGAAGAAUGCAAACUGAAGACUGAAUGCUUGGCAAAUGUGGGUGAAGAACACUGAAGAACGAAGACUGAAGAAUGGAUGCUUGGCAGAUGUGACUGAAGAACACUGAAGAACGAAGAUUGAAGAACGUGACUAAAGAACACUGAGAAAUGAAAAUUGAAGAGUGAAUGCUUAGCAAACGUGACUGAAGAACACUGAAGAAUUAAUGCUUGGUUGACUUGGCUGGAGAACACUGCUGCAGACUCGGGAAGCCCUCUAUGGUCACAGAGUAACCGAGGUCGGGGCUCGUAGAGUGGUCAGCUGCGGUCGACGGAACUGGAAGGACAGCCAGCAAGAGUGCAGCGGCAGGUUAUUGGGAAGACUUGGAGAGUAGAGUUGGAGACCCCUGGAGCACGAGAAACAACCACAGGAAUUUCCUGAGGGAGCACAGAGCUGGAGCUUCUGCUCUUGGCAGUAACUUGAAGUACUGGCAGUGUUAAAGUCUGGGCUGACCCCUUUUAAAAGAGAAAGCUGCCCGGGAUUGGCUGAAUGAAACCGCAGAGCCUAUCCAUUGGCCACAGAGAAGUUUGGUCUCCAACAUGGCAGCCCCCAGUACAGCAGACACACAAGGGCACGCUUCCUCACCUGCCCAGUCACCCGUCUCUGGUACUCCAGGGCCCGCAGCAGUCACUGCCACCAGACCCACCGCGCCUCACCUCGACCAUGACCAGCUCCUCUGCCAGCAAUGGAACGGGCAAGCCCCGGGCCCUGACACCAGAGGUAAGCCCACGGUCUCUGACAUGGAGUCAUGUAGAACUACAUACCUACCAGCUUGAGAGGUCUGCUGUAUAUUGCUCUUAUAGACCUCAAACCCCAUCCGUUGCUAGUUGAUUUCUCUCUAUAUUUCAAGAUGUUUAUCCCUUCAUUGGUUCUCAGAUUUUUGUUACACAUCAAUAUAAUUGAAUCAGUCCUGUGCAUUACCUAAUCCCAGAAGGCGAGGGCAGUAUUUGUAAAAUGGUGCGCCUUACACAAAAUAAAAUCAGCAAUCCUACAUUAAUAAUGAGUAAUAUUUAAAAAAGUGAGGCCACUAUUUAACAUUAUUGUCAACUGUACAUUAAAAUAUACUUGCAUAACCAUGUAGGCAUAAUGCUGUCUACAUCAUUUAAUGUCGACCACACAUUUUUUUAAUCUCAUUUGUUUGUGUGGCCCUAUCAUACACUAUUAAUGUGAUAGCUCUAUAUUAUUGCUUUUUCAAUCCAUUGAAUACAUUUGUUGUGUUUUGUAUUAGUGCCUUGCUGUUUCACAUGUUUGACUAGUAAAGAAAAUGUAUAAAAAACUAAAA